ACAAACCCUGUGAGCUUUCUCAAGGCGGGAAAGCAGAUUGAUCCGUUCUGAUAAUGCAGCGUAAAAAAACCCGGCGCGAGGCCGGGUUUUAGAGCGCAUCCCGAAAAGUGUGAAACGGGUUUUGGAAAAGAUUCGUGUCAAAACAAAGGAUUAGAGCGCCGAUCUGUUUCAAU
rnacentral:misc_RNA from 1 species